GACGAACGCUGGCGGCGUGCCUAAUACAUGCAAGUAGGACGCAGUCGCGAACGGGUGAGUAACGCGUAGGUAACUACCUAUUAGUGGGGGAUAACUAUUGGAAACGAUAGCUAAUACCGCAUACUCGUAGAUGGACCUGCGUUGUAUUAGCUUGUAGGUGGGUAAUGGCCUACCUAGGCAAAGAUACAUAGCCGACCUGAGAGGGUUGUCGGCCACACGGGGACUGGGGACCGGGCCAGACUCCAACGGGAGGCAGCAGUAGGGGAACUUCGGCAAUGGGGGGAAACCUUACCGAGCAACGCCGCGGGAGAGAAGAAGGUUUUCGGAUCGGAAAGCUCUGUUAUUAAGGAAGCGUUACUUGAACAGAAAGGGACGGCUAACUACGUGCCAGCAGCCGCGGUAAUUC
rnacentral:rRNA from 1 species